rnacentral:rRNA from 1 species
GACGAACGCUGGCGACGUGCCUAAUGCAUGCAAGUCGCACGCGGGGAGCUUGCUCCGCCGCGUGGCGCACGGCUGAGGACCACGUGGGUACCAACCGGGAGUGGGGGAUACCUCGUCGAAAGACGAGACAAUCCCGCAUACGAUCGGCAACGAUGAAAGCGGCAACGCGCUCUGGGACGGGCCUGCGGCCCAUCAGGUAGUUGGUGAGGUAAUGGCUCACCAAGCCUAUAACGGGUCCCUGGUCUGAGAGGACGACCAGGCAGACUGGGACUGAGACACGGCCCAGACUCCUACGGGAGGCAGCAGCAAGGAAUUUUCCCCAAUGGCCGCAAGGCUGAGGGAGCAACGUCGCGUGCAGGACGACGGCCUUCGGGUUGUAAACUGCUUUUGGGGGGGAAGAUACUGACGGUACCCCCUGAAUAAGCCCCGGCUAACUCCGUGCCAGCCGCCGCCGUAA